GUCAUUUGAAAAAUUAGCCCCAUCUGCAAGGGGAGCCUCACUAGAAUUGAAAGCAAUGGAAGCUGGUGGUGCAGUAACUUCGAGUGUGAGUAGUACUUCAACUCCAUUUGUUAAACGGCUUAGUAGGGUUGGCCAAACUUUGCGCUAAAGGAUUAUGUUGCAAUUGUGAUGAGCCAUAUACACUAGACCACCGCCACACAAAAUUAUUUUGGCUGGAGUUAAAGGAUUCUGAACCACUUGUUGAUGAGUCGAACGGUGUAGGAGUCGAU
rnacentral:misc_RNA from 1 species